rnacentral:rRNA from 1 species
GACGAACGCUGGCGGCGUGCUUAACACAUGCAAGUCGAACGGAAAGGCCCUGCUUUUGUGGGGUGCUCGAGUGGCGAACGGGUGAGUAACACGUGAGUAACCUGCCCUUGACUUUGGGAUAACUUCAGGAAACUGGGGCUAAUACCGGAUAGGAGCUCCUGCUGCAUGGUGGGGGUUGGAAAGUUUCGGCGGUUGGGGAUGGACUCGCGGCUUAUCAGCUUGUUGGUGGGGUAGUGGCUUACCAAGGCUUUGACGGGUAGCCGGCCUGAGAGGGUGACCGGCCACAUUGGGACUGAGAUACGGCCCAGACUCCUACGGGAGGCAGCAGUGGGGAAUAUUGCACAAUGGGCGGAAGCCUGAUGCAGCAACGCCGCGUGCGGGAUGACGGCCUUCGGGUUGUAAACCGCUUUCGCCUGUGACGAAGCGUGAGUGACGGUAAUGGGUAAAGAAGCACCGGCUAACUACGUGCCAGCAGCCGCGGUGAUACGUAGGGUGCGAGCGUUGUCCGGAUUUAUUGGGCGUAAAGGGCUCGUAGGUGGUUGAUCGCGUCGGAAGUGUAAUCUUGGGGCUUAACCCUGAGCGUGCUUUCGAUACGGGUUGACUUGAGGAAGGUAGGGGAGAAUGGAAUUCCUGGUGGAGCGGUGGAAUGCGCAGAUAUCAGGAGGAACACCAGUGGCGAAGGCGGUUCUCUGGGCCUUUCCUGACGCUGAGGAGCGAAAGCGUGGGGAGCGAACAGGCUUAGAUACCCUGGUAGUCCACGCUGUAAACGGUGGGUACUAGGUGUGGGGUCCAUUCCACGGGUUCCGUGCCGUAGCUAACGCUUUAAGUACCCCGCCUGGGGAGUACGGCCGCAGGGCUAAAACUCAAAGGAAUUGACGGGGCCCCGCACAAGCGGCGGAGCAUGCGGAUUAAUUCGAUGCAACGCGUAGAACCUUACCUGGGUUUGACAUGGAUCGGGAGUGCUCAGAGAUGGGUGUGCCUCUUUUGGGGUCGGUUCACAGGUGGUGCAUGGCUGUCGUCAGCUCGUGUCGUGAGAUGUUGGGUUAAGUCCCGCAACGAGCGCAACCCUUGUUCACUGUUGCCAGCACGUUAUGGUGGGGACUCAGUGGAGACCGCCGGGGUCAACUCGGAGGAAGGUGGGGACGACGUCAAGUCAUCAUGCCCCUUAUGUCCAGGGCUUCACGCAUGCUACAAUGGCUGGUACAGAGAGUGGCGAGCCUGUGAGGGUGAGCGAAUCUCGGAAAGCCGGUCUCAGUUCGGAUUGGGGUCUGCAACUCGACCUCAUGAAGUCGGAGUCGCUAGUAAUCGCAGAUCAGCAACGCUGCGGUGAAUACGUUCCCGGG